UUUUUUUUUUUUUUUUUUUUCCAACUUAAAAAAUGAGAAAGGGGAAACCAAGACACGUUCCUAUGUUUUUAAAAAGUGAAAAUAAACAGAUCUUUAUUUCUUUUUUUUCUAAUUUCAUUUCUAAAAAUGACGUGCAGUUGAUUUUUGAGUAUUAUGAUAUCGGAUUGAUUGUUCUAACUAAAAUACACAACAUCCGAAACAAGUAUGAAGAAGAAAUGAAAGCAGAAACAGAUAACAAAUUAUCAGACAUAGAGGAUUAUAAUUCGAUUGAAGAAAAGGUAAAAGCAUUUUUUUUAAAUUAUAAAGUAAAAAAAGAGGUGGAAGCUACUAACGAAAUUAAAAAUAAACUAGGUGAUGAAAACAAAAAAAGCAAAAAAAGUUCAGUAUGUAACAAAAUAAAUAAAACGAAAUUAAAUAAAAAUAGUAACACGAAAGAAGCAUAUAAUAAUUCAUUGAUUAGUGAUUCCAAUUUAGAAGGAACUAAGUGCUCAAAUGAUAAUAAUAAGCAACAGAAUGUUGUAAAUGGUAUAAAGACACGCAACAGAAGGAAAAAAAAAACUAUCAAUAAUGGUGAUAAGAGUACUUCUACUAAUGGUAAUACAUACGGAGAUAACAAAAAUAACACAACAAUGCUUAACGAUAAUAAAAGCAAAAGUUGUGAUAAAAGUGACAUUUAUUUAAAUCGAGUAAAAAUAAAUGUAACUAAGGAUGGUGAUAGAACAAAACAAAUAGUAACAGAAGUGGAAAAAGAAGAUCAAUCAAAACAAAGAAACAUGGUUGAUAAUACUAAUAAAGCUAUUGUUGAUGACACACAACUAUUGCAAAAUAAAAAUAUUUUAAUUUGUCCUAAUUUUAUAGAUAAAGACGAAACAAGUAAUGUAAAUAAUAUAAAUAUACUUAACAAGAAAAAAAUAUAUAACUCAAAAAAAAACAAAUACCCAACUGAUAUGUUACAAAAUAGUGUAAAAAAAAAAAAUAAUAAUGUAAAAAAACAAGACGAACCAUUCAAAAUUAAAAAAAAAAAUGCUUCUAUUGACAAUAAACAACAAAGCAGUUGCAAAACGAACGAACAAACAAAUAAACAGAAAAAUAAAAAUUCCAUUAUGUUAAAAGAAUUUGAAUAUAAUAAUAACACUGAAAUAAAUAUAGAAAAACAAUAUAAUACUACAAAUAAUUUAAAAACUAAAGAACAUUCUCCAGAUGAUCUUUUAUUUUCUAUGGAAAAGAAAAAUGAAACAGAUAAAAAAUUUAGUAAAAGAGUAACAAAAAAAAAAAAAAAAAAUAAGACACAAGACUAUGACGAUGACCAACACCAAUGCUUUUAUAUUACUGAUUUAUGUAGAAAAGGUACUUUACUGUCAUUAAAAAAAAAUAAAAUUACAAACCAGACAAAAACCGAAUGCAGUGGUUUA
rnacentral:lncRNA from 1 species